CGGCACGCAGAGACGGGCAGAGAGAGCGCGUGCAGAGUGGUGGUGCGGCCGUACUGACGAUACAGAAGUGGGGCGAACGCAGCGAACUUGGGCUGGACUAGCGACGGCAGUGAAAGAAGCCUGCGGCAACCAGUGAGUGAGCUCUCAGCGGGAACGGUUGGAGGUGCGGCGUCAGCACGGUCGCGGUGAAACGGAGCCUGCGUGGAGUUGAGUGUGGCUGCUGCCAUUGGAGUUCCACCCAGGCUCGGAGUACUCGCACUGGGGGUUUGGGUUGCGUUUCCGUGUUAUUGCACAAAUACCGGCAGAAGAAACAACUUCAAAGGAAGCUUGAGGCAGCUGUUCUGUGUGUGGAAGGCUCGUAUGUGUGUGUGAGGUAAGCUAUUGUUUAGGAUGUUGAGCAGUAGUAGUAGUAUUAUCUAAUAUAAACAUAUUAUUUCCAUUAAUAGAACAAAAACAAUUUAUAUUAAUAAAGUAACAGUUAAUACUUUUGCCA
rnacentral:lncRNA from 1 species